rnacentral:misc_RNA from 1 species
UACGAAGGGUGCAAGCGUUAAUCGGAAUUACUGGGCGUAAAGCGGGUGUAGGCGGCACCGCAAGUCAGAUGUGAAAGCCCAGGGCUCAACCCUGGAACUGCAUUUGAUACUGCGGUGCUUGAGUACUGGAGAGGAUAGCGGAAUUCCUGGUGUAGUGGUGAAAUACGUAGAUAUCAGGAGGAACAUCGGUGGCGAAGGCGGCUAUCUGGCCAGAUACUGACGCUCAGACCCGAAAGCGUGGGGAGCAAACAGG